rnacentral:rRNA from 1 species
UGCAGUCGAGCGGAACGACACUAACAAUCCUUCGGGUGCGUUAAUGGGCGUCGAGCGGCGGACGGGUGAGUAAUGCCUAGGAAAUUGCCUUGAUGUGGGGGAUAACCAUUGGAAACGAUGGCUAAUACCGCAUAAUGCCUACGGGCCAAAGAGGGGGACCUUCGGGCCUCUCGCGUCAAGAUAUGCCUAGGUGGGAUUAGCUAGUUGGUGAGGUAAUGGCUCACCAAGGCGACGAUCCCUAGCUGGUCUGACAGGAUGAUCAGCCACACUGGAACUGAUACACGGUCCAGACUCCUACGGGAGGCAGCAGUGGGGAAUAUUGCACAAUGGGCGAAAGCCUGAUGCAGCCAUGCCGCGUGUAUGAAGAAGGCCUUCGGGUUGUAAAGUACUUUCAGUUGUGAGGAAGGGGGUGUAGUUAAUAGCUGCAUCUCUUGACGUUAGCAACAGAAGAAGCACCGGCUAACUCCGUGCCAGCAGCCGCGGUAAUACGGAGGGUGCGAGCGUUAAUCGGAAUUACUGGGCGUAAAGCGCAUGCAGGUGGUUCAUUAAGUCAGAUGUGAAAGCCCGGGGCUCAACCUCGGAACUGCAUUUGAAACUGGUGAACUAGAGUACUGUAGAGGGGGGUAGAAUUUCAGGUGUAGCGGUGAAAUGCGUAGAGAUCUGAAGGAAUACCAUUGGCGAAGGCGGCCCCCUGGACAGAUACUGACACUCAUAUGCGAAAGCGUGGGGAGCAAACAGGAUUAGAUACCCUGGUAGUCCACGCCGUACACGAUGUCUACUUGGAGGUUGUGGCCUUGAGCCGUGUCUUUCGGAGC